CACAUGGGUACCUACCCCACAGUGAGGGAUACCGGCGAGAAAUCGCCGACAAUACCGCAUACGCUUCUUCGCAAGGGGAAGCAAAGUUGCGCAAGCGACGCUGUGGGAUGGGCCUGUGGCCGAUUAGCUGGUUGGUGAGGUAAUGGCUUACCAAGGCUGCGAUCGGUAGCUGGUCUGAGAGGACGAUCAGCCACACUGGGAUUGAGAACGGCCCAG
rnacentral:rRNA from 1 species